rnacentral:rRNA from 1 species
AACUUUCAGCAACGGAUCUCUUGGCUCUCGCAUCGAUGAAGAACGCAGCGAAAUGCGAUAAGUAAUGUGAAUUGCAGAAUUCAGUGAAUCAUCGAAUCUUUGAACGCACCUUGCGCCCUUUGGCUAUUCCGAAGGGCAUGCCUGUUUGAGUAUCG